UACAGAGACUGCGAGCGUUAUUCGGAUUCACUGGGCGUAAAGGGUGCGCAGGCGGCCGAGUGUGUGAGGCGUGAAAGCCCGGGGCUUAACCCCGGAAUUGCACCUCAAACUACACGGCUAGAGCAUUGGAGAGGGUAGCAGAAUUCAUGGUGUAGCAGUGAAAUGCGUAGAUAUCAGGAAGAACACCGAUGGCGAAAGCAGUCUGCUGGGCUUACUCUGACACUGAGACACGAAAGCGUGGGGAGCGAACGGG
rnacentral:rRNA from 1 species